UACGUAGUGUGCAAGCGUUGUCCGGAAUUAUUGGGCGUAAAGAGCUCGUAGGCGGUCUGUCGCGUCGGCUGUGAAAUCCCGGAGCUCAACUCCGGGUCUGCAGUCGAUACGGGCAAACUGGAGUACUGCAGGGGAGACUGGAAUUCCUGGUGUAGCGGUGAAAUGCGCAGAUAUCAGGAGGAACACCGGUGGCGAAGGCGGGUCUCUGGGCAGUAACUGACGCUGAGGAGCGAAAGCGUGGGGAGCGAACAGG
rnacentral:rRNA from 1 species